UGAGAUAUAUAUAUUUUUCCUACAUUCACAAGUGUGAUAUACAUUUUCCUACAUAGUUUAUUUAAUUUCCAUGAGAUGCAUGCAUAUAGUAUAAGUAUGAGUUUAUUAUAAUGAGCUAGUAGGUGAUUAAAUCCCCUUAUCUAGAAUAAGACAAGAAAAAAAAAAAAAAAAAAAAAAAAAAAAAACUUUCUCUCUCCCCUCCCCCUAUGGACCGUCCCCAC
rnacentral:lncRNA from 1 species